rnacentral:rRNA from 1 species
GAUGAACGCUGGCGGCGUGCCUAAUACAUGCAAGUCGAGCGAACAGACGAGGAGCUUGCUCCUCUGACGUUAGCGGCGGACGGGUGAGUAACACGUGGAUAACCUACCUAUAAGACUGGGAUAACUUCGGGAAACCGGAGCUAAUACCGGAUAAUAUAUUGAACCGCAUGGUUCAAUAGUGAAAGACGGUUUUGCUGUCACUUAUAGAUGGAUCCGCGCCGCAUUAGCUAGUUGGUAAGGUAACGGCUUACCAAGGCAACGAUGCGUAGCCGACCUGAGAGGGUGAUAGGCCACACUGGAACUGAGACACGGUCCAGACUCUUACGGGAGGCAGCAGUAGGGAAUCUUCCGCAAUGGGCGAAAGCCUGACGGAGCAACGCCGCGUGAGUGAUGAAGGUCUUCGGAUCGUAAAACUCUGUUAUUAGGGAAGAACAAAUGUGUAAGUAACUAUGCACGUCUUGACGGUACCUAAUCAGAAAGCCACGGCUAACUACGUG